rnacentral:lncRNA from 1 species
CGGGGUGGGAGCGGGGGUGCCAAGGACUGCAGGCCUGGGGAGGCGGGCGAUAGCUGCGCAACACACAGCCGAGAAGGCUCUUGCGUGUUUCUCUUUCACAGCCUUUCCAUCCAUGAAGGUGAGAAAGGAGCUUCUGCUCUUAGGCGAACUGAGAUGGGAGCUCAUUUAUUUAGUCGUUGUGCGGUCCCCAAGGUCGCGCCCAAAGGCCUUCCUGUGUCAGGACAUGAGGGGAGUCUUACAGUCCUCUUUCUUUGCUACCCAAGGGCCAGGUGUCAGGCACCAGGUGAGUCCCAACCAGUCCUGGCCCCCAACCCACUGUUCUUUGAUGUUUCCUUUUGCCAUUCUGUUUACACCAUCGUGAUAUUUGGCAGUGUGGAAAUGUGACCUGGACCGGAAGCUGCUUUUACCUCAGCCAUAGCCACCUGCCUAGGUUCCCCAGUCUUUCCCAGGUGAAGGAUUCCCUUUCUCAACUCGGAAUUCUGGCUAUUUUUGCAUCCUUUCCUGUACCCCCACAUGCUUCUACUCUUGAGCCCUUCUUUUCUCUGCUUGCCGCACGGGACAAAGCAAAAUUGAUGCGGUCGCUGCUGUCCAUUUAAAAACUCACUCAGAUGCUUACGUCGUCACGUUUGUCAGAAUAAUGUGCCUCCAAAGUUAUCCACAUACUAUCCUCUAGAACAUGAGAGCCUAUGUUACCUGGCAAAGGACAGUUAAGGCUGCAGAUGGAAUGAAGAUUGCUGAUCAGGUGCAUUUAACAUAAAAUUAUGCUGCGUUUUCCUUGCCAAUGUAAUUGCAAGGGUUCUGUAGAAUCUCUGUGUUGGAGGGAGGCCAAAGGUACAGUGAUGCAGCCUUAGAAAAACUGGAGAAGCUGUUGUUGGCUUUGAAGAUAGUGGGAAAUCCCUGAGCCAAGUAAGCUGGAGGCAAGUAAUCCAGAAACCAUGGAAGGAAAAUAGCUCUGCCAACCUCUUGGUUUUAUUGUAGUGAGAGCUUUUCUUUCAGAUUGCCAAUGUGCAAUACUGUAAGGUAGUGAAUUUGUAUUGUUUUAAGUCACUACAUUUGCAACACAAUUUGUCUUUCAUAUUCACAAUUCCUGGAUCUGUUGAUACCACCAAGC